rnacentral:rRNA from 1 species
UGGGGAAUUGUUCGCAAUGGGCGAAAGCCUGACGACGCAACGCCGCGUGGAGGACGAAAACCUUCGGGUCGUAAACUCCUGUCGAGUGGGACGAAUACUACCUGGGUUAAUACCUCAGGUGGCUGACGGUACCACUAAAGGAAGCCCCGGCUAACUCCGUGCCAGCAGCCGCGGUAAUACGGGGGGGGCAAGCGUUGUUCGGAUUUACUGGGCGUAAAGAGCUCGUAGGCGGCUUGCUUAGUCGAACGUGAAAUCCCUUGGCUCAACUGAGGAACUGCGUCCGAUACUGGCAGGCUUGAAUCCGGGAGAGGGAUGCGGAAUUCCAGGUGUAGCGGUGAAAUGCGUAGAUAUCUGGAGGAACACCGGUGGCGAAGGCGGCAUCCUGGACCGGUAUUGACGCUGAGGAGCGAAAGCCAGGGUAGCAAACGGG